GAAUUCUCGGGACUUCCUGUGUGGAGGGCUAGAGUUCAGUUGGAGGCUGUUGCUUGAGGUUGGGGGAGCCCUGCAGACUGCUUUCCUUCAGAUUGGUCAUAGAACAGCCACUUGGAAUUGAACUGGAAGAAAGUCACUUGAAUUUGGAGUGAAGACAUUUACUCAGAGCUGGAGGGAUGAAAGACACUUGAGGAGAGACUGGAAGACAGACACUCAGACUUGGAGUGAAGACACUUGGCUGUGGAACUGGACCCCUGGUGGAGCUUGUGCAGGAGACCUCAGACUGUUUUCCUUUCUGAUGGUCACCCUGGUUCUGGGACAACUGGCAAAUUAUGGAUGUUGCAAAGUGGAAGACAGAUUUUCCUUGUUAGAUAUCAUCAAGGGAUUGUUGGAUGGUUACUUAGUAUAGAUACAUAAAAUUCAUGGUAAGGAGUUCCCAUAAAGCACUGAUAUUCUAUUAUUAUCUGGUCUAGUGAAUUCUGUCAUUCCUAGUCAAUUCUUGGUUUGUCUCACUGUCUCUCUGGAGUUCUUGUCCAAGAUAGAUUUACUAAUUGAUUAAUUCAGUAGACCACUUAUCCAACUUCAUGCCAUUACAUUUUUGACAUAUCUGGUUGUUUUCUUUGUUGAUUGUCAGAUAAUUCUCUUAAAAGGGACCAUGGAUCUUAUUGAACAAGCUUAAUGUAAUA
rnacentral:lncRNA from 1 species